rnacentral:rRNA from 1 species
UACAGAGGUCUCAAGCGUUGUUCGGAUUCAUUGGGCGUAAAGGGUGCGUAGGCGGCGCGGUAAGUCGGGUGUGAAAUCUCGGAGCUUAACUCCGAAACUGCAUUCGAUACUGCCGUGCUUGAGGACUGGAGAGGAGACUGGAAUUUACGGUGUAGCGGUGAAAUGCGUAGAUAUCGUAAGGAAGACCAGUGGCGAAGGCGGGUCUCUGGACAGUUCCUGACGCUGAGGCGCGAAAGUGUGGGGAUCAAACAGG